rnacentral:tRNA from 1 species
GUUUCUGUGGUGCUAUUAGUUAGCGCAUUUGGCUGUUAACUGAAAUGUUGGUGAUUCAAUCCCACCCAGGGGCG